GCAAGUCGAACGAACCCUUCGGGGUGAGUGGCGCACGGGUGCGUAACACGUGGGAAUAUACACAUCGGUAAGGAAUAACACAGAGAAAUUUGUGCUAAUACCUUAUAAUGACUCCGGUCCAAAGAUUUAUCGCCGAAAGAUUAGCCCGCGCUAGAUUAGUUUGUUGGUGAGGUAAGAGCUCACCAAGACUACGAUCUAUAGCUGGUCUGAGAGGACGAUC
rnacentral:rRNA from 1 species